AGGCCUGCAGUUAGGAGGAGCUUCUGAAUCUACGAGAAUAGGCUGCUGUGCUGUGUCAGAGCUCCUCAGUUCACGGCACACAGGCUGAGCUGCAGAACUACAGCAGCGCACAUACAGCAGAUCCGCAGCAUCUGGGAAGGUGUGAGAGACCUUCUAUAGCACCUCCAAUGGACAGACUGUGACUUUCCAUCAUUGGUGGGUUGCGUGAACGCACUCCUCUGUCAAGACACAGGCAUUUCCAGCAUGUCUGAAACCCGGAUGAGUAGCGCAAAUACGUUUUAGUGCUGCUUAGUUCUAACCACUGAUGCCGACCAGCUGACACAUGGUGCUGGGACAGAAUAGAUAGUGGAUUGUAUAAAUCAAGCCCUCCAAAGAUGGACAGCCUGAAGGCCCUAUCCCCCACAAUGACUUGUUAAGUGAAGGCAAAGUGGAAGACAAGUUCUGACGACACAAAUCAAGUUAUCAAGGUCUCGUUCCUACCAAUUCAUAAGGAAGAGAAGUGAAAUCUGAGACAGUGGUCUCCUGGACCACCCAAAAUUCAGGGUCUACCGUACCAUCAGAACAAUGUAGUAAUGCUUUUCUCACUUUUUAACCUAUGUAGUGUAUUCAAAAUGACUGCCUCAUCUGCUACACUGGUGGAUGCAAUGAACAAUGCAUAAAUCUGAUAACAUUUUAAGGAUCCUUUAUCUCAAAAGACUUCUGCGGCUUCCUCAUUAUGUGUUAUCAUGACCAGUGUAUCCUAUGUGCUUUCAGAACGGCUGCCUUCACUCAGUAUUAUGUUCAUGGUUUUCUGUAUCUACUGCAAAUCAAAACCUCUGUACUCGACACAACAGUAUACUGUAAGUCUCAUGUUUGUUAAGGCCAUGCAUCUGAUCCCCCCUCCCCACCCUCCCCCCUCUCUUCUCCUUCUGUUUCUCUCGCUUUAUUUAUUUCUUUUUCUGGUUUUGGUUGUGAUACCAUUUCAGUGUAACAUGCUAUAUUGUGUAUUGAUCUGGGGUUGCGGUUUUGAGAGUGUUAAUCUUUAUUCCGAGUAAAAUUUUUGGCUUUCUGCUCUCCUGUGGCCCUGAGAUAUUUUUGUUCACAGCGUGGAAUACGUUCUUGAAGAGUGAUUAUUUAUUAUAUGUACCAAACCUGUACCCCGAAUGUUCCCCACCUCUCUUCU